CCUGUUAAUCUAGCAACUGGCCUCCCCCGUGUCCAUCCUCCACUGCUAGAAUUAGUGCUUGUGAGCUUCUGUAUACCCUAACCCAGCUUGGUAUGCAUGCAUGUGUCCUGUGCUUGCAUAGAUGCAGGUGUCAGUGUGUCAGUGUGUGUAGUCUCGUGAGGGUCUUUUGUAUUUUAAUGCUUUAAAAGUUGUGCAUGUGAAUCCAUGGUACAGUGAUGUGUGGGUGUGUACAUCAUUCUAUUUAUGCGAGUUUUCCUGUUUGUAAAGAAA